AAUCACAGGAUAAUACUGCGAG
rnacentral:miRNA from 3 species